CCUACGGGAGGCUGCAGUGAGGAAUAUUGGUCAAUGGACGAGAGUCUGAACCAGCCAAGUAGCGUGAAGGAUGACUGCCCUCUGGGUUGUAAACUUCUUUUAUAUGGGAAUAACAUGUUCCACGUGUGGGAUUUUGUAUGUCCCCUAUGAAUAAGGCUCGGCUAACUCCGUGCCCGCCGCCGCGGUAAUACGGAGGAUCCGAGCGUUAUCCGGAUUUAUUGGGUUUAAAGGGAGCGUAGGUGGAUUGUUAAGUCAGUUGGGAAAGUUUGCGGCUCAACCGUAAGAUUGCAGUUGAAACUGGCAGUCUUGAGUACAGUAGAGGUGGGCGGAAUUCGUGGUGUAGCGGUGAAAUGCUUAGAUAUCACGAAGAACUCCGAUUGCGAAGGCAGUUCACUGGACUGCAACUGACACUGAGGCUCGAAAGUGUGGGUAUCAAACAGGAUUAGAUACCCCAGUAGUC
rnacentral:rRNA from 1 species